rnacentral:rRNA from 1 species
UACGUAGGUGGCAAGCGUUAUCCGGAAUUAUUGGGCGUAAAGCGCGCGCAGGCGGUUUCUUAAGUCUGAUGUGAAAGCCCACGGCUCAACCGUGGAGGGUCAUUGGAAACUGGGGAACUUGAGUGCAGAAGAGAAAAGCGGAAUUCCACGUGUAGCGGUGAAAUGCGUAGAGAUGUGGAGGAACACCAGUGGCGAAGGCGGCUUUUUGGCUGUAACUGACGCUGAGGCGCGGAAAGCGUGGGGAGCAAACAGG